rnacentral:misc_RNA from 1 species
CGCACAUUGCGCCCCUUGGUAUUCCUUGGGGCAUGCCUGUUCGAGCGUCAUUUACACCCUCAAGCUCUGCUUGGUGUUGGGCGUCUGUCCCGCCUCCAUUUUGGCGCGGACUCGCCUCAAAGCGAUUGGCGGCUGGUAUGAUGGCCUGGAGUGCAGCACAUUGCGCCCCUUGCCCUGAGGCCGGCUCCCAGAAGCUCAACCCCCCACAUAUUGACCUCGAAUCAGGUAGGGAUACCCGCUGAACUUAA